rnacentral:rRNA from 1 species
GAUGAACGCUAGCGGGAGGCCUAACACAUGCAAGCCGAGCGGUAUUUGUUCUUCGGAACAGAGAGAGCGGCGCACGGGUGCGGAACACGUGUGCAACCUGCCUUUAUCUUGGGGAUAGCCUUUCGAAAGGAAGAUUAAUACCCCAUAAUAUAUUGAGUGGCAUCAUUUGGUAUUGAAAACUCCGGUGGAUAUAGAUGGGCACGCGCAAGAUUAGAUAGUUGGUGAGGUAACGGCUCACCAAGUCAAUGAUCUUUAGGGGGCCUGAGAGGGUGAUCCCCCACACUGGUACUGAGACCCGGACCAGAAUCCGAGGGGAGGGAGCAGUGAGGAAGACUGGAGAAUGGGUUAGGGCCCGAUCAAGCCAUCCCGGGUGAAGGACGACGGCCCUAGGGGUUGUAAUCUUCUUUUGAAUAGGGAUAAACCGCCUCUCGUGAGAGUAGAUGAAGGUACUAUACGAAUAAGCACCGGCUAACUCCGUG